UACAGAGGUUGCGAGCGUUAAUCGGAAUGACUGGGCGUAAAGGGCGCGUAGGUGGAUGAUUGUGUUGGAUGUGAAAGCCCCGGGCUUAACCUGGGAAUUGCAUACAAAACUGAUUAUCUAGAGUGGAGCAGAGGUGAGUGGAAUUUCCGGAGUAGCGGUGAAAUGCGUAGAUACCGGAAGGAACACCAGUGGCGAAGGCGACUCACUGGGCUCAAACUGACACUGAGGCGCGAAAGCGUGGGGAGCAAACAGG
rnacentral:rRNA from 1 species